rnacentral:snRNA from 1 species
GGAUGUGAGGCCGAUCUGGCUGUGACAUCUGUCACCUCAUUGAUCGCCAAGGUUGAUUUGGCUCAUCUGGCUAGCUGGGCAGUUGUCCCCAUCCUCUGUCACUGCUCCUUGUGCAUCCCUGUCCCUCCCAAAGCUGCAUACUAGCUCGGUCGCAGAGGAGGGCCAGCCCAAUAGAGGAAGAUCGUUUCCUGUCAAGGGUACAUGAGUAGCUGCACUCCCCUGCUAGAACCUCUAAACAAGCUCUCAAGUUCCCCCAGCCUUCCUUGUGGGUGGAGAUGAAAAGUCCCUUUAGAGAGAAUCUUAGCUACAACUUUGUUUGAGGUUCUUAUCUGU